rnacentral:lncRNA from 1 species
GCCGUUUGGAGAGAGGAAAUAUUCCAUCAGACUUUCUGACCCUAGUAACCUUAGACAAAAAAGUUAAUUUUUUGUAUUUUUAGUAGAGACAGGGUUUCACCAUGUUGGCCAGGCCAAUCUCAAACUCCUGACCUCGUGAUCAAGAGGCCUUCCAAAGUGCUGGGAUUACAGGUGUGAGCCACCAUGCCCGGCCCACUUCAGCAACAUCUAAAUGAAUAAACAGAAAUCCAAUCUUCUGCCUCCUUCCUGUACUUAUUUGAUUUCAAAUAAUAAUUUCCAUUUUCAAACGCUUUAAAAAUUUUUGGUGGUCAAUGGAUUAUUUGAAACUCAUUAAAUACAUGAGCACCCUCUGAAACACACAUAGAAAAAUAUACACACCCUCAAGUAUCUAUGCAACUUGAAGAGGUUUCCCAAACCUUAAGGGCCCUGGGUUCCACAGUAAGUUUAUAUUGUAAUUUACAAUUUAAAAAGGGCAUUUUGUAUCUUGCUUAACACACAACUCUGUAAGUAAAGCAAUAUUAACUUCAUCUUACAUAUGAAGAAAUUGGAACUUAGAAGAGUUUAUCAUUCAUCUUUUUCCAGGAAGGUAAGAGAAAACACUGAGGCUGCUUUUUUUUCCCAGAGUGCUGAUAGCCUCCCAUGGCAAGGGAGAAGGAAAUCAAAGCCAAUGUCCAUCCAAAAUAGAAUCUCUAAGGAGGGACCCCUUCACUCCAAUGAAGAUGGGGUACCAAAGGUUUAUACCUCUCCCCUACUCCAAG